rnacentral:rRNA from 1 species
AUUGAACGCUGGCGGCAGGCCUAACACAUGCAAGUCGAACGCGUGGCGGACGGGUGAGUAAUGUCUGGGAAACUGCCCGAUGGAGGGGGAUAACUCCUGGAAACGGUAGCUAAUACCGCAUACCCUCGGAUGUGCCCAGAUGGGAUGAGCUUGUAGGUGGGGUAACUGCUCACCUAGGCCACGAUCCCUAGCUGGUCUGCGAGGAUGACCAGCGAGACUGGAACUGAGACACGCUCCAGACUCCGACGAGAGGCAGCAGUGGGGAAUAGUGCACAAUGGGCGAAAGCCUGAUGCAGCCAUGCCGCGUGGAUGAAGAAGGCCUUCGGGUUGUAAAGUACUGUCAGCGGGGAGGCGUUACCCGCAGAAGAAGCACCGGCUAACUCCGUGCCAGCAGCCGCGGUAAUAC